CGUACACUCCUACGGGAGGCAGCAGUGGGGAAUUUUGGACAAUGGGCGAAAGCCUGAUCCAGCCAUGCCGCGUGCAGGAUGAAGGCCUUCGGGUUGUAAACUGCUUUUGUACGGAACGAAACGGCCUUUUCUAAUAAAGAGGGCUAAUGACGGUACCGUAAGAAUAAGCACCGGCUAACUACGUGCCAGCAGCCGCGGUAAUACGUAGGGUGCAAGCGUUAAUCGGAAUUACUGGGCGUAAAGCGUGCGCAGGCGGUUAUGUAAGACAGUUGUGAAAUCCCCGGGCUCAACCUGGGAACUGCAUCUGUGACUGCAUAGCUAGAGUACGGUAGAGGGGGAUGGAAUUCCGCGUGUAGCAGUGAAAUGCGUAGAUAUGCGGAGGAACACCGAUAGCGAAGGCAAUCCCCUGGACCUGUACUGACGCUCAUGCACGAAAGCGUGGGGAGCAAACAGGAUUAGAUACCCUGGUAGUCCC
rnacentral:rRNA from 1 species